GGGGAUGACCGGAUUUGAUUGAUUGCACUUUUAAAAUAUGGGCGCAAGCCAAGCUGCUGAUGCUUGUUAAACACAGCAAAAAACACUUGCCGAUACAAUGGUAAGAGAGCCUGCACUAGCGGGCGCAAUGGCCUAAAAUUAGUUUAAUUACUAUUUAGGUCAGGUUCCUAAAAGCCUAUCCGGGGGGUUUUAGAGAAUCUUAUAAAACCGGAGUGAGGGGUUUGGAGCCGGUAAUUCCAAAAUCCAAGGGCUAAAAAACCCAAACACUUUACCUAGGGAGGACCUAGAAAGCGCGUUAAAGGCUUUCCCUUCUGAAAAUAACUUUAACUAAGCUUGUAGAUACUCAUAUUUGGUCUUUCAAGACGGGGGUUCGAUUCCCCCCAUCUCCACCA
rnacentral:tmRNA from 1 species